rnacentral:rRNA from 1 species
GACGAACGCUGGCGGCGUGCUUAACACAUGCAAGUCGAACGGAAAGGCCCUGCUUUUGUGGGGUGCUCGAGUGGCGAACGGGUGAGUAACACGUGAGUAACCUGCCCUUGACUUUGGGAUAGCUUCAGGAAACUGGGGCUAAUACCGGAUAGGAGCUCCUGCUGCAUUGUGGGGGGUGGAAAGUUUCGGCGGUUGGGGAUGGACUCGCGGCUUAUCAGCUUGUUGGUGGGGUAGUGGCUUACCAAGGCUUUGACGGGUAGCCGGCCUGAGAGGGUGACCGGCCACAUUGGGACUGAGAUACGGCCCAGACUCCUACGGGAGGCAGUAGUGGGGAAUAUUGCACAAUGGGCGGAAGCCUGAUGAAGAAACGCCGCGUGCGGGAUGACGGCCUUCGGGUUGUAAACAGCUUUAGCCUGUGACGAAGCGUGAGUGGCGGUAAUGGGUAAAGAAGCACCGGCUAACUACGUG